ensembl:lncRNA
CUCAAAUGUGACCAAGCAGCUACAAAGCACUCGUUCUAAUGCGUUAUCGUUUCUAUGGUAACACAUUCUAUAGAAACACAUAAUCCAAGACUAAUACUAAACGUUGUGGGUGUUUUUUUUUUUUUGUUUUUUUUUUUAAAUAAAUGUGGUGUUAUUUGACAAAAACGUCUAAUCACUGAUAUUGUGAAGCCUUCAAUAAGGAGUCUCGGGUGACGGUGCUUUGUGAUGGUCAGUCAUUUUCCCAACAUGGGAGAGUCUGUACUGUACUUUCCGUUUGUUUUUUUUGUUUUUUUGGUCAUAUUAGAGACAAAUAUGAAUGAUAACAGACACUAACUUGUCUUAUGGAAAUUCCACAGUAUUAAAAGUAGCUAUAAACAGAUAAAAAGCAAAUUUAGUAUAAGAGGAAUAAAACAUCUUGGAACAUGCUGUUCAAUUCUAAAAACCUGCCGUGUUUUAUUCCUUACCGAUCCAAGCUUCUCCGAAACUAGAGAAAUGGCUCCUGGGAAGUACAAGCCUCUGAGUGCAUCAUGGAGGAUUUUACUAAGCCAACCUGGAAUUCAGACAUUUUCGAAUUGUUCCAGUGAAGCGAUGAUCCUACGUAGACAACUGAGAUGUUUAAAAUGGCUACCGUUCUAAAACCAUACUAAAAUUCAAAAACAAUACUAUAUAACUGCGGGGGAGACGCAGCAAAUCACUGAAAUGUCAACUCGAUCUGGAGGACACAGUGUAAUGUGAUACAAUAACAAAACAGCUUCAUUUGUAUUCUCAUACACUUGUGAUGUAAUAAAAG